rnacentral:misc_RNA from 1 species
GGAAGGAUCAUUACAAGAGUUAUGGUUGCUAAUUUUUAGCGCCAACUCCCACCCAUUGUGUACCAACUUUGUUUGUCUUUGGCGAAGCGAUUUUUGCUUCAUCGCUUAAACCACUGACAGCGAUACUGCUGUGAGUGAGUCUUUGCCAAAGGUUUUUUUAAAACUCUAUACUUUAUAGUCGUCCGAGUUUAUUUUUUGAAUAAAUCAAAACUUUCAACAACGGAUCUCUUGGUUCUGGCAUCGAUGAAGAACGCAGCGAAAUGCGAUAAGUAAUGUGAAUUGCAGAAUUCAGUGAAUCAUCGAAUCUUUGAACGCAUAUUGCACCUUAGAGUAUUCUCUAAGGUAUACCUGUUUGAGCGUCGUUUAGAACAUAAAGCAAAGCUUUUUUGUUAGAUUUUGGUUUCAGCGACCAACUUCUCAAAUGUAGUGGCGUUGUUUUGUUAACCAAUACACAGUGAAAUGUGAACUGGUCUGCAAAAUUCAAUUUGCCAGUUAAAAAUUUUUUUGUUCGACCUCAAAUCAAGUAAGACUACCCGCUGAACUUAAGCAUAUCAAUAAGCGGAGGAAAAGAAACCAACAGGGAUUGCCUUAGUAACGGCGAGUGAAGCGGCAAAAGCUCAAAUUUGAAAUCUGCCACUAGGCCGAAUUGUAAUUUGUAGAGGAACGUUCGGUGAAGCCUUAGUCCAAGUCUUCUGGAAGGAAGCGCCAAUGAGGGUGAGAGCCCCGUAGGAUGACUGGCUGAACCAUGUGUACGUCCUUCGAAGAGUCGAGUUGUUUGGGAAUGCAGCUCAAAACGGGUGGUAAAUUCCAUCUAAAGCUAAAUAUUGGCCAGAGACCGAUAGCGCACAAGUAGAGUGAUCGAAAGAUGAAAAGCACUUUGGAAAGAGAGUGAAACAGUACGUGAAAUUGUUGAAAGGGAAGCGCUUGCAACCAGACUUGUUCUUUAGGUUCAGCAACUGUUUUCAGUUGUGUACUUCCUAUUUGACAGGCCAACAUCGGUUUUUUGGGUCGGAAAAAAUUAUUGGGAACGUAGCUCUCUCGGGAGUGUUAUAGCCCUUUGAAGAAUACGGCCACAGAAGACCGAGGACCGCCUUUUGAAGGAUGUUGGCGUAAUGGUUGCUAGCGGCCCGUCUUGAAACACGGACCAAGGAGUCUAACAUCUGUGCGAGUGUUUGGGUGUUAAACCCGCUCGCGUAAUGAAAGUGAACGGAGGUGAGAGCAUUUUUGCGCAUCAUCGACCGAUCCUGAUGUCCUCGGAUGGAUUUGAGUAAGAGCACAGCUGUUGGGACCCGAAAGAUGGUGAACUAUGCGUGAAUAGGGCGAAGCCAGAGGAAACUCUGGUGGAGGCUCGCAGCGGUUCUGACGUGCAAAUCGAUCGUCAAAUUUGCGUAUAGGGGCGAAAGACUUAUCGAACCAUCUAGUAGCUGGUUCCUGC